rnacentral:rRNA from 1 species
CUAGCUGGUAAACGAGUGGAGCCACGAAGUCGUUUCGUAGAAUAAAGAAUACAAAUUCAGUUGAGGUUAUCGAAAGAUGGCUUUAAUGCAUUUUUGUUUAUUCUUCUAUGUAAGCGUACACUGCAACCAAUUAGACGAUUAAUUGUGGAAACAAUUAGCCAAUAUGAGGAGAAAUCUUUGUAUUAGUUAAUGAAAUACUUGUAUGCCAUCUAUAGGUUGCUCGAUUUAGUCCUUGUGGCUAUCUUGAGUGUAUGAUAGUUGGCAUGAGAGCUACAAUUAAAUACUGAUUGGCACAACGAAAAUCCAUUUGCAAAAAUGGUUCCUAGAUAAUGCUACCUGUAUUGUAUGUGUGUACAAUUAUUUAUUACUAGCGUUAAGCUUAGUAGUUUUAAAUUUAGACUAUCUGGCUGGCUUUGACUUCGGUCGUUGCUGCUUGUAUAGCUUUCUAUCUAAUUGGCUAUUAACUUUGUUAGUAAUUUGAUAAUUGGGAUGUUUGCAUGUAUGCAAUAAUAGGCAAGCUAUCUGAUUGGCAGUGAGUAGGUCGGCUUUCCACACGACCC